rnacentral:lncRNA from 1 species
CAUGCAAUGAUUUGAAAAAAUCCACUCAGCUGGAAACACUUGCAAAGCUCCUCUAGUUGGGAGUAGAAAGAGGGUAUAAAAGUCCUUUGGUGAGAGCUGAAAGCAUGUAAGUGUUCAGGAGGAAAUGUGAUGCAAGCAGAAUUUUCAUGUUUGGGAAAAUUAGAUUUCAAAGGAUUCCUGUGCUCAACUGCCAUCAUAAAGCAAAGCAUGCUAAUCUGCAAACUGUAUGAGAUGUGUAAGUUUACAGCAGUCAAGGAAGUCUCUCUUCUAGUUUUUUUCUACAGUUUUUCUGUAAUAUCUCUUUCUGCCUUGGGAUUCUUGUCUUGACAGGUUCCUUCUUCUGAAAACUUUGCAAGCACAUUCAGCUGAACAUACUUACAAACCCAUAAUCAAAUUUUGUACUCUAUUCACUUUCUGUUUGGAUCUUCACAACCCACUAAACACUUACUUGGAACUUCCAUCAGGCAGAUCUGUUCAAUCCAUCUAAGCAGAGGUCUUUCUUUUCUUUCCCUUGCAAAUCUGUUCCAGGGCAGACCUUUGUAGAUUAUAUUUUAUAGAAAAGAAGUGUAUAUGUUUGUGUGCACGUUUUUCAAAUGGUACCAAGGCAGAAACAAUGAACAAUCACAAAGCAUAACUCUUCAAGGAGAGUUAGGAAUGUGCACAGAAGUAGUGAACAUCCUUUUGCACCACUGGCAAAAAAAGAACCACAUAGGGCCAUCAUGUGGGGGAGGGGUGACAAGAAGGAUUUGGGGCCCUUAAUGAAUGCCUGCCCCCAUUGACUUAAAAAUGUUUUGUGCACAUUUUAGAAAUACAAGCAGUGUUUCAUGUACAUGUUAUCAAGUACAUUUUUUCUCUUUCCUUCACAGAAUGUACCAAAGCCCAGAAAUAUACAGGCUUCUAACCACAAAUUGUGUCUGUUUGGUCUGAAAGGCACAGACAAGGUUCUCAGCAACAGACCAAAGGAAAAAUGUGAACUGAUAUCUUUUUUCCCCAUAUCCAUGGCCAUUCCUAUAGUUGCAGAUAUUCAAACUACUUCACAGAAACAACCAAUUUAUGGAAAAGGUGGCAGCAGCACUACAUAUUAUUGUCAUUCAGGAGGACGUCUUCUACUUCAGCAUGUAACUUCCCUGAUCAAUGUGUUGCUCUUCCCUUGGAUUAAUGAACAUGCCGUGUACUCUUUCUUGAACCCUUGGGAAAGAUCAAUGGCCAUUUCAUGUCACGUUGCCCCAUUGCUGCCAAAUUGCUCUAGACAAACUUCUAUUGAGCAAAAACACCUUUUCCAGAUCUGGUCAAAGAGUCUGAUUAAAAAUCCAUCCAGUUGCUUCCUCUCAUUAUAGGUCACACUGGUGGGCGUGGGGGGGAAUCAUCCUCUAAAAUUACUCUUGCCAGGUAAAAGAUCUAGGCAGAACAAAUGGGUAUUGAAUUCAGGCUGUACUUAAUGCUCUGGGGCCCGGUUUGUCCAUUUUCUACUUUGCUGACUCUUUUUGCUUUAUAACCCUCAUGCCCUGGGUCUCAGAGUGUCUUGUGAGGAAGAUCCACCUGUACUUCUUGCUUAUAUAACUCUGAGUGUGCAGCUAAGAAA